rnacentral:tRNA from 1 species
AAGAUUUUAAGUUAAAAAAACUAAUAUCCUUCAAAGUUAUAAAUAAAGAACUUCUAUAUCUUUAAGUCUUA